rnacentral:rRNA from 1 species
UGCAUGUCUAAGUACAUGCCGUAUUAAGGCGAAACCGCGAAUGGCUCAUUAAAUCAGUUAUGGUUCCUUGGAUCGUACCUUACUACUUGGAUAACUGUGGCAAUUCUAGAGCUAAUACAUGCAGCAGAGCUCCGACCUUCGGGGACGAGCGCUUUUAUUAGACCAAAACCAAUCGGACCUCGCGUCCGUCUGUCGUGGUGACUCUGAAUAACUUUGGGCUGAUCGCACGGGCCCGUCCCGGCGACGUAUCUUUCAAGUGUCUGCCUUAUCAACUUUCGAUGGUAGGUUACGCGCCUACCAUGGUCGUAACGGGUAACGGGGAAUCAGGGUUCGAUUCCGGAGAGGGAGCCUGAGAAACGGCUACCACAUCCAAGGAAGGCAGCAGGCGCGCAAAUUACCCACUCCCAGAACGGGGAGGUAGUGACGAAAAAUAACAAUACGGGACUCUUUUGAGACCCCGUAAUUGGAAUGAGUACACUCUAAAUCCUUUAACGAGGAUCCAUUGGAGGGCAAGUCUAGUGCCAGCAGCCGCGGUAAUUCUAGCUCCAAUAGCGUAUAUUAAAGUUGUUGCGGUUAAAAAGCUCGUAGUUGGAUCUCAGUUCCAGACGGGUGGUCCGCCUACCGGUGGUUACUGCCUGUUCUGAACAGCCAGCCGGUUUCUCUUGAUGAUCUUCACCGGUUGUCUUGGGUGACCGGCAAGUUUACUUUGAAAAAAUUAGAGUGCUCAAAGCAGGCGUGACGCCUGAAUAAUGGUGCAUGGAAUAAUGGAAUAGGACCUCGGUUCUAUUUUGUUGGUUUUCGGAACACGAGGUAAUGAUUAAGAGGGACAGACGGGGGCAUUCGUAUUGCGACGCUAGAGGUGAAA